GUAGCUCAGCUGGAUAGAGCAAUGGCCUUCUAAGCCAUCGGUCGGGGGUUCGAAUCCCUCCCA
rnacentral:tRNA from 1 species